ACACUGCAUUUUGUCUGGUUCCUUGUCUGUCUCUCCCAACUGGGCUGUGAAUGUCUCGCUGGCAGGGCCUGGCCUUCCUGCUUGCAUCCCGGGCACCUGGCUGGGCACCUGGCCCUCUAGAGAUGCUCAGUGAUUGAAUCACACACUGCCCUGCCACGUGCUCUAGGAGAUUGGCCUCAUGCUCCACAUCACCCCCACUCCCUUCCCCUCUGGCUCCAAGCUGGGUUCAGCCAACAGGAGACAGCAGCAGAAGAGGGGAGGCUGGGAGGAGAGGCUGGGAUCCGUCUCCUCUACUCUCUCCCCAUCUCAAUGCCUCCAAGACUGCAGCUCCCACUGGGCAGCCUCCCCCAGACUCUGUGACCACCAUUUUUUGCCGUGACCCCCUUGGUCCUAAGGGUGGUAACAGCUUCCUGCUAUUGCCAGCUCCUGGGUGCCUCAGCAUCUUUUGUUGGUUCCCCUAAACUUGUCCACAACUCUGUAAAUCAUCCUUUACUAAAUAGCCCUUCAUCUGAAGCGUCAGUAUGAAUGCCGUUUCCUGCCAGGACUCUGCCCAAUGCACAUGUUAAGUGAAAAAGAAGAAUACAGAACUUUGUAUUUUU